CAAAAAAUAUAAAGAUUUUGAUCUGCAACUAUAUGGAUAUUUUGGCAUGGGGUCCCCACUUUUUGUAACAGUGUAUUGCAAUUGAUUUUUCACUACCUUCCAGAGUAGCUUUGAGAUCUGAAACUUUUGAUAUUUCUGUAGUGCCAAUGAUUGUGCAUGUUAAAGAUAGGCCAAAGACAGGGAGCAAAUUAAGACAUAGGGAACAGACAGGGCCCAAGACACCAGGUAUCACAAAAAUUAAUGAAGAUUAUUUAGGAGCUUUGGCAUUUACAAGGAAAGCACAGAUGUUUUCAAAAUGUUUUAAACAUGAUUUUCAAUAAUUUAAAGGAGAUACUUUCUGUAUUAAAUGUCAAGACAGAGGCUUUAAAAGCAACUUGUGAUAAAUUGUCAACACAAUAUUUAUAGGGAAAGUAUUACAAAAAUAACUUACAGACUCUAACUCCAAAAGUGAUUGGUCUGAAAAAGCAAGGUUGUAUAAUUCCUUUUAUUAAAAUACUGUAUUUCCUAUUACAAUCUCAAGAAAUUAAUGACUUUACAGCAGUGAAUGAGGACACAAACCAUAUGAAAAUUGGAAUAUAUUGUGACGAUCUUGGAAAAACAAAUCCUUUAGGAAAGGCGCAUAAAAAACAUAUAAUGUUUGUUCUUUACUUUCAAGUUUUAAUCAUCCCUUCAUUGUAUCGCAGCAAAACGUCUAAUUUUUUUAGGUUACUUUUUAUUCUCACUAAACGAGUAAUAGAUAAAAAUUUUUACGGUAUUCUUUUUAGUGAUUUUAUUUCUUCAAUAAGCCAGCUAGAAAAAUAGAAUUAUUAUUAAAGUUAUAGGUGUUUCCAAAAAAAUUACAGAAGAAGACUAGUAUACUUCUCAGGUGAUUUUCUUUCUGCAAAUGCAACUGGAGGUUUUAAAGAAGGUUUUAUUGAAAAGGCAUUGCGCUGUAACAGAAGUUGUAAUUCAACCAGACAACAAAUAAAAGAUUUUUCUAACCAUGAAGAAUGCAAUAUUUGCAAUGCUGCUGAACAUUGACAUGUGUAACUGAUCUAAAUUCUGUAUCCUAAUAAAUUCAUUCCAAAGUUACACUUCCUUAUUCACUACCCAACUCAAGCUGAACAGUUUGGGGCUCUACAGGAACAUAUGUGUAUGGCUUAUGAAAGAAAACACCAGGUUAUGAAGAACUUUCGACACUUCGAGAACAUUCCAGCAUUUUUUUCCAAGCAAUUUUUUUAAUGUAGCCGGGGAAAAACGAUUGGAUGUAUAUGUGGACACGUUAAAGUUAAAUAAUGGCUCUAUUUAUUCUGUUAAAGUUAAUGGCAUAAUUGGCAAUUUUAUUUCUUGCCUAUAUAAAGAAAAGUUGAUAUUCUACAAAACCCUUUCAAUAUCAUCAGAAAUCGACAAGCGUUUAAAUGCUAUAAACUUAUAGUACAAGCACAUUCAACACUGUAAAUCUUCAGGACAAGUUGUCAUAUAUCCAGAUACUGUCAUAUAUCCAGAUACUUUGAUAUUUCUUUGGUGCACCAUCCAAUACUCUAACUCUUCAAACUCUGUGAAUGGCAAAAUCAAUAUUUUUUUUUAGCAGUUCCAAGUCUAAAAUUUUUUAAUAUAUGUAUAUGAAUUUAUAUUUUAAUGUAAAUCCAUAGAUAUUCUAAAACAAGUUUGUAAACAAGCUGAUCCAUAGAAAAUUUAAUUAAACAUAAUUGUAAACAAAUGUCAUAUUAUUUAAUGUUUGCUGCUCAUAAUAUGGUCUGUCCAAAAAACCUUAUAAAGGUUUAGUGUAAGUCUAAAAAACCAGUUAAACAAUUGCCCACUGCUAUUUAGCUGAUAUGCCACAAAUUUUGCUGUAAUAUUUAUUAUGCCAAGCAUUUUACUGCGUUUAUUUUUUUUUUAGAUUUCAACAGUUCUUUUUGAUUCUAAUGAAGUUUCUCAUCUGAUGACUUUUUUUAGUUCAUCUACUUAGAAUUUUUUCCGCAAUAUUUCAACAAAUUUUUGAAAAAGGAGCUGGAAAAUAAUAUUCUUCAGUAUUCAGUCAAGUUGCUCUUCCUUUAGUUCCAUUGGUUCGUAAAGAGUUUUCUUUCAAACUUAUAUCAACACUUAUUUUUAAUUUUCCAAACUACUUGGAACCUUGGAAUUGUAUCAAUGGCAUUCACGUUUAUUAAGUUUUAUUAAACGAGGAAACAACAAAAAUCCCGCCAAAGAAAUCUGUGGUAUCUUCAAUCUUUCGGAUUCAGCUCAAUUUGCAAGUACAUCUGUGUGAUAUCACCAUGCAAAGUGACUGCGUUUCUUCGGAACCGCAUCAGAACGACACAUAGAUCUCGUUGCAGUUUUGGUCCUUGAUGGAUGACGUCAUUCAGCGAAACACCUUGGCAUUUUGCAACAACGUCGAAAACAAUUCUGACUUUUGGAGUCUCCUUUUCCAACUUUACAACGCUGAAGUAUGGGAGGUUCCAUUGAUUUUUGUAAUCAUUUUUACUCUUUUGAUAUAACCUUUUGUUACGUA
rnacentral:lncRNA from 1 species